GUGUCAGCAGCCGCGGUAAUACGUAGGGAGCAAGCGUUGUCCGGAAUCAUUGGGCGUAAAGGGCGCGUAGGCGGUUUCGUAAGUCAAAUGUGAAAUGCACCAGCUUAACUGGUGAGCUGCGUUUGAAACUGCGAGACUAGAGAUCAGGAGAGGAAAGUGGAAUUCCUAGUGUAGCGGUGAAAUGCGUAGAUAUUAGGAAGAACAUCAAUGGCGAAGGCAGCUUUCUGGACUGACACUGACGCUGAGGCGCGAAAGCGUGGGGAGCAAACAGGAUUAGAUACCCUCGUAGUCC
rnacentral:rRNA from 1 species